GCCCAGCCAGUACGGUGGAUAUGAUCCUCGGCUUGUAACCGAGUGGGUUCGGGUUCAAAUCCCGAGUAAGGUA
rnacentral:tRNA from 1 species